rnacentral:lncRNA from 1 species
AAGCCAUAGUAGAAGUAGCUUUUAGCUAAGACAUUUAGAUUGCAAGAUUGGUGGUCAUUAAAAAGCUUCAAGAUGAUUUUCUUAGUAAUUAGGAAUAUAGAAAUUAGACUAAGAUCAUCCUUGAUCUGAUUAAUAAUUUUUUUAUAUUAUACUUUUUUUUUGAAGUUCUCUAAUUUUUCUAUAUAUGACAAUUGUAAUUCUAACUUUUUAUUCUAAUACAUGUAUAUAUAUAUAU